rnacentral:ncRNA from 1 species
AGGUCGGAAAGGCUCCCGACACACUCGAAAGAGUACCUGAGAUGCUGGAUACGCCGCCCAGC